AUUGGCUGAUGUGGUCACUUGUUUUAAGGGAUGAAUGAAAUGAAACCUGGAACAUUAAGAACAUUUAGAAUAAGAAAGUUGAGCCACACCAUCAGUUAAUUUCUCCUUCAUCUACUGGUGGGGGAUUAUCUGGAGGAAAUGAUGACGACCGCCCGUGUUCAUUGUGGAUCUGUGGGUUAUAUCUGAUCACGGGACUUUCCCCCCGAUGGCUUCGUGUCCUUUACUUCCUGCGUCCUCAGCAGACAGCAGGAGGGCGUCAGCGUGCCGGUGCGUCGCGCCGUAGCAGCACAUCAUUACUGGUAGUGGUUCUGUGGUACCAGUAUGAUAUGUGCUGCUGCCCCCAGACGCACAAUCCUCUUCAUCAGCAGACACUCAUCAUCACGUGUUGACAUGUAUGACCAUGAAUAAAAGCCCAAUAUUUAAAAACGAAGACGUCGGCUCCUUCUUUGUACCUGACAAUUGGAUCUCAAACUGGACCAAGGAGACUUUCAUCCUCAAGGUUUCUUCUCGCGUGAGGAACGGAAGGAAGAACUCUCCAAGUAUUGAGGGGAAAAGGAAGAAACCGUUAAGAUCUACUUACUCUACCAGGACACGUCUCCGGGUCUUUGUCAGCAGAUGUAAAGUACUCUACAGUGAACGGGGAAUCAGGCAAUCAACGGUUUCUACACCACAAAAUUAUCAAACAAAAAAGCUGAACAUUAGCGUCAAACAGUGUUUGUGCCCACACGUUACAGAAGGUAUUUCUGUAAAUGCUGCUCAAUUAAAACCAUUUGAAACUAAUAUCAUACAUGGCCUACAUCCUUCAUAUACCAUAAUGUGUGUAAUUAUGUCAAUGAACACAUUCAAAAGAAGACGUCGGGAAACACAGGUAUUUUGUGUUGGUAUAAACUUAAACGAUGAUUCAAAUGUGUGAGUCUAAUGUCACAAAGACAUCAAAUACAACGUGCAGAAAUACCCAAAUAUUUUUUUUGGUGUCCUACUACAAUGAGAUUUUACUUAUUAAUUUUAGUCGACAUGUCGCGUUUGAACUAUAGGGUUGUAACCAUGCCAACACUAUACCAUGAAUUAAUUUCAGGUAUCACCUGUGGGCUAUUUAAAACGAAGAACUAAAUCAUAUCGUUUUACAUUUCUAAUUUGAUAUGCACGUCCAGUUAACUAUGGGCUUUUAUUAUUACAGUUGCUAUGGAAACUAUAUGAACCACAGCGAAUGCUUUCAGAAAGAUAUGAACCCAUAGAGGAUUUCCAAAAAUGUAUUAACCGUGAUUAAUACAUUACAAGUGAUUAGGGGAGAAUUGGACAUUAGUAUAUUUUACUGUUUAUGUUGUAGUUUCAGAUUGGACUUUGAUGUUACUGAAACUUUGCAACAUCAUAUUAGAAUUAAAGGUUCUACCUGAGUUAAAUAUAUAGUACAGGGUGCCGAGAAGGCCCCGCUUACCUUUCACUUUUGAAAUGAAAAAAUGUUUGUUGAAAUAAAUUUGAACGCAGGACAUUUAAUAAUUUGAUAAUAGUUUCCCUUUGUAUGGAAAACACCAACAUUCCUGGUUAGAGAAAGAAUAAACUAAAGUACCAAAGUCUCAUUAAACCACAUUCAUUGGUUCAUUGCGGCACACUUUACCGCAAGGUGGGCAGCUGCUUGUGGGCCCCAAACAGGCGUUUAGAUAUUUCACAUUUUGUAACGAUGCCGAGAUGUUUCCUACGUCUCAUCUCAUCUUUAACUGCUUAUCUGUGGUCGGGUCGCCGGGUGUUUCCUAGUCGUUUACAAAAGGGCCCGUACUCACUCUAAGAAGAAUUUUAAUGCACGACUUCAACCUUCGUUUAUAGGUUUUACUUCAAAACAGCAAUUAGCGUUAGUUAGCCAGCGUAUCGCAAUGCAGCAGCGAAGGAGGCGGUCAAUGGGCCGCUGCCAACGACACACUAAACAGUGCGCUGUAUUCACUGUGUUAAUAUCUUUCUGAAGACAAGGAGGCAAGUUAUCUCAAGUUACCAUCUCUCAGAAAUGAGUAUUAUUAAUAAUUUGAAGUGCACUUGUAUGAGGUUCUUCUCAGGCGUCAGUGUGAUGUAGUUUGAAGAAACAGGAGUUCCAGCAUGUGAGCAAAGUCAUGUAAAAAUGUGCUUACACACCGUAAAAUGUCACAAAAAGCCCCGUUACUGCAAUGAAAAGUGGAUCAGAUUUCUAUUGUCUUUUCUACUCCAACACAUUUUAAUGGCAGGUUAAGAGGAAGGAAGGAAUUCAUCAAAUUCCUACAUUAAAAAUAUACCAGAAGCAAUCAGGUUUUUUGUUCUAAAUACUCUAAUAACUAGUGCAAUAGGUUUGACCUAAACAGAAUCAGUUGAAUCAAACUUUUGCACAACUGAAUUGAACAUGAAAUGGAGUAAAAUGUUUUACACAGUUCAGACAAAGACCUGCCUCUCCAUCGGGUGCAUCAGGAAGAAAGGCGUCAUUCCUCUGCAGCGUUCUGUUGGUUUUCCUGACUUUUUAAAAAAACACAGGAAGUACCUGUGUUGGAAGGCCUCCCUUGCUGUUCUGGGUCUUUUGGGAUUUUCUGGACGUACCCACAUCUAAACUCAAUAAGGAGAGGGAAUGUUCUCAAUUAAAAAAAGAUUGCAGUAAAAAAAAAAAAAAAAA